rnacentral:rRNA from 1 species
GGAUUGAACGCUGGCGGCAUGCCUAACACAUGCAAGUCGAACGGGAGUAGCAAUACUCUAGUGGCGGACGGGUGAGGAAUACGUAGGAAUUUGCCCUUAAGUGGGGGAUAACCCGGGGAAACCCGGAUUAAUACCGCAUGACCUCGAAAGAGCAAAGUGGGGGAUCGCAAGACCUCACGCUUUUGGAGAAGCCUACGUCGGAUUAGCUAGUUGGUGAGGUAAUGGCUCACCAAGGCGACGAUCCGUAACGUGGUCUGAGGAGAUGAUCAGUCACACCGG